rnacentral:lncRNA from 1 species
CAAGCAUUUGCUGUAGGAAGGAGGGAACAAGCGGAGGCCCACUGAGACCACCUAGUGGAAGGAAUGUGGAGCAUGUGGUUUUCGGUGGUCCAGUGAGCAUGUAGCUAUCUUCAAGAAGUCUGUCUGUGUUGUGUACAAAUAGAGUUACAACCCUUCCCCUCCCCUCCUCCCAAGGGAGUGUGGUUACAAGAACGCUGACACAACAUCCUCUGGGCAAAGUUUGUUGUGCCAUGUUCACUCUCCCCAAAGCUCCCUCUGGCUUCCGACUCACUCCCUCUGCUUAGUUCCUCCUCUUGGAGCACUAGAUGUGUCUGCAUCCACCAUCAAGCUACCCUUUGGCUUGUAUGUGUCUGCUGGUCCUCAACUGAGGUCCCACCUUUGUUCCUGGAAUUCAUCACAGGGCCUGCGACUGACCUUUAGACACCAAGUCUGCAGAAAACCUGUGACUAUCCAGGUGUUUCAGACGGAGCAGCAAGCUUUCAUUCUCAGUUGUCGUCUUGCUUACUUUCGAAAGACUACAUGAACACUCUCCGAGAAAGGUAAACGUUUUACUUUUUCUCUGAAUUCUUCAAAUUUAAAGCAAAGUGUUUAUAAUGGAGAGAUGAACUUCCUUCCACAUCCUGUCCCUUAAAACUUGUGUGUCUAACGCUGGAGACAGAAGAUGAAAGUGAUUCAGUUACUCUAUUUAAGGCUCCAGAUCUAGUGCGAUCAAGUACCCACUACCUCUGGUGUUACCCCGACAUGUAAAGAGCUUAGAAUUCAUCACUCCUGUCCUUAAAAUAACAGAAAGCUGAAUAAAUGGAAAAUUGGCAACCA